GCCAACUUGCCCGUCAUUCGACGGAUCGCCGGCGCUACACUUCCUUGAAUGCCAAAGGAGACGUUGUAUAUUAUCACCCUCCAGCGGGAAGCCUGGAACUCCCCGGUGCUCUUUGACUAGACUUCCCGCAAUGCCCACGAGGAAUGAAUUCCAUAUACCCGAGCGCCUGGGUCUCACUCUGUUGCCCUGGCUGGAGUGCAGUAGCACUAUCAUAGGUCACUACAACCUCAAUCUUCCAGACUCAAGCGAUGUAAGGAUGCAGCAAAAAUACAAAGACACGUGGCUGACAUUCUAGGGGUCAUCAAUUUCGACAUAUUCAUUAGUGUUUUGAAAGUGUGUGAAUAAACUCUUAUACUAA